rnacentral:rRNA from 1 species
GACAGAGGGUGCAAACGUUGUUCGGAAUUACUGGGCGUAAAGCGUGUGUAGGCGGCUAGGUAAGUCGGAUGUGAAAACCCCGGGCUCAACUCGGGAAGUGCACUCGAUACUGCUUAGCUCGAGUACCGGAGAGGUUGGUGGAAUUCUCGGUGUAGAGGUGAAAUUCGUAGAUAUCGAGAGGAACACCGGUGGCGAAGGCGGCCAACUGGACGAGUACUGACGCUGAGACGCGAAAGCGUGGGGAGCGAACAGG